rnacentral:lncRNA from 1 species
CAUUUUAAUGGAAAUUGUUUCCAUUCACCUCUCUGUUCCCUUCUUCCUGCUAGUGACACCCGAGCUUUAAUAAUCUCCAAUGCCGAAUUGUUCACUCUGUGACCCUGUCAUUUGGAGAAUACAUUGGACGUUGGCGGAGUCACCAUACAGCACCUCAUUAGUUUUUGAACUCUUCAAAGAGAGCCAAACAGCCAUCAAAUUCAAACCUGUCUGCUCCCACAAGACACUUUCUUCCCUUGGAGCUGACAGAGAGCCCAAAGAGCGGGCGGAUCCCAGGGCGGGAAAAUCGGAAAGUCACUGUGCCUCACAGAGCAGGCAGCUUCUCCAGUCAUGACUGCUACGCUGCUCGGAAGAAGGUUCAGGGAACCUGCCUUUGCGAUUGGUUGACACCUGCACAACGUUCAGUCAAUGCGGCAAUUGUAGCAACCAGCACCAGAAAUGUCAGCUCUCAUUAGCCGGCAUAUAAAUCUGCCUCCCUGAGAAGUGGGAUGAGAGAACCACAGAGAAAAUGCCAGGAAGCAGGAACAUAUGUUGAUCACACAAAGAGAAGCUCCGACAAUGGGUGUCUUCCUCCACAGCCCAGGCACCCGGAACAGGAAGGCUUUGUUUUGCCUCAGCCCUCGGUGCCCCCGUAACAGGAGGCUGGGCAAUGUGUUCCACCACCCGGGGUGGGAGGUUCUGCUAAGUGUUUGCUGACACAGCUGAACAGUCGUAAAAUGUCAUAAAGAGUAAAUGACUUGAUAACGCAAACCAGU